rnacentral:rRNA from 1 species
AACGAACGCUGGCGGCGUGCUUAACACAUGCAAGUCGAACGUGAAAGACUUCGGUCGAGUAAAGUGGCGAACGGGUGAGUAACGCGUGGGUAAUCUGCCCUCGGGCGGGGGAUAACCUCUCGAAAGGGGGCGUAAUACCGCAUGAGACCACGGCUUCUUGGAGCUGUGGGAAAAGGUGGGUCGCAAGACCAGCCACCUGAGGAUGAGCCCGCGUACCAUUAGGUAGUUGUGGGGUAAUGGCCUACCAAGCCUGAGAUGGUUAGCUGGUCUGAGAGGACGAUCAGCCACACUGGGACUGAGACACGGCCCAGACUCCUACGGGAGGCAGCAGUGGGGAAUAUUGCGCAAUGGGGGGAAACCCUGACGCAGCAACGCCGCGUGUGUGAAGAAGGCC